rnacentral:rRNA from 1 species
UACCUGCAGCUCAAGUGGUGGCCGCUAUUAUUGGGCCUAAAACGCCCGUAGCCGGUUUAUUAAAUGCCUGGGUAAAUCGUGUAGCUUAACUAUACGAAUUCCGGGUAGACUGGUAAACUUGAGACCGGGAGAAGUUAGAGGUACUCCUGGGGUAGAGGUGAAACUCUGUAAUCCUAGGGGGACCACCAGUGGCGAAGGCGUCUGACUAGAACGGGUCUGACGGUGAGGGACGAAGCCCUGGGGCGCAAACCGGAUUAGAUACCCGGGUAGUCCAGGGUGUAAACGCUGCUUGCUUGAUGUUAGUCGGGCUCCGAGCCCGAUUAGUGUCGGAGAGAAGUUGUUAAGCAAGCUGCCUGGGAAGUACGGUCGCAAGACUGAAACUUAAGGAAUUGGCGGGGGAGCACAGCAACGGGUGGAGCGUGCGGUUU